CAAGAUGAGACAGUAGAAAACAUGGAAUUGAGGAUUAAUUCGAUGAAAAUAUGAUCUUGUACCCGGUAUUUUUACGCUACAUAUUGUACAAAAUGAUAUUAUUGACAACAUAUCCAAUGCCAAGAUUAGCAAUUAUAAUAUAUGCUCUUAAUAUGAUACAAUGAAUGGAACGGAAUCAAUUUCAUACACGUGUUUUCACCGACAUGGUUUCAACAUCUAUGAUGAACAUGAUGAAUGGAAGAUUCUACAUUUGGUUGAUGAUAACGAUGUCAGACAAAAAUGUUAAUCAAUGGUGUGCAGAUGUCUUGUGUUUUGAAUCAGGACUUCAUGAAGACGGGGCAUGGACACCACCUGUUUCUUCCGGUACAUAUCAUGGAUGGUCCUUUUGACAACAUUCCGGUUAAAGUCGUCCAAGAUCCAAGGCUUUGGACCAGGCUUCUGUAUUGAUGACUUGUGGACUGCCUUUACAACAUCCUGCACUGGAUCCAAAGCCUCGAUCUUCCUCUUUAAUGUACUGAGGCUUAUACCUGAAAAUAGAGAGAAAUUAUUCAGAAAUAUUAACAUUCAUUUGUUCUGUGUUAAAUGUGAACACUUUAAUAAUCAACCAAGUACGAGAUAUUGAGAGUAUUAAUCUUUUCAGGAGAUUUUAUAAUUGUAUUUAAAGAACACAUUUUCUAGUACAUUUUUAUUUUGUAAAGUACUGGUUUGUGUGAAGCUGUCGGUGUCCUUAGUAAAGAAGAUAGACCAUUAUUUUUCAAUAGUUUAUGCAUAUUGUUUUAUUGAACUUUUUUAAUUUUGAAGCUAUGCAUGAGUAAAUAAUUUUGAUUGAAUGUAAUGACUAAAAUGUUUUUCUGUUUUUUGACAUUUCCUGAGAUAGUUUCAAACCUUAUUUUAAUGAAACUUUGGAAAAUUGUCUCUAUAAAUUGAAACAGGCUCUUUUUUUUUAAUUUAAAAAUUCAAGAUCUUUAAACUGUUCUGAGAUAUGGGAAUUAUAAAUUAAAAUAGGGGGAUUUCCAGUUUUAUAACUAAAACUGAUAAAGAACAGUCAGUGACUUUUAAGUAAAAUUUUCAGACAAGCCGUUUUAAUGUAAGUUAAGAAUUCAUAUUUGCCAGGGUCUUUACCAUAAAUAUUUACACUACCUGUUGCCUUCACCAUGCGUGUCCAAGGAUCACUUAAACACCAUGGUUUUCCAAUUUUCUUUUCCAUGGUGAAAAAUUUAAAGAAUUUUUCAAGGAGGUGUGAAACCUGCAAAAAUCAAUGGCAAAUAUAAUUUUUAAUUUGUACAAUUUCUUUUGUUAUAUUAUAUAGCUUUCUAAAUUAAGUGUUUUUCAAUAUAAAUUAUAUGAAAAUGUUUUAACUGUAAUUUACAGUUUUUGAUUUCUAAAUUAUUAUUUACAAUUUAUUUUAAGCAGAUCAUAAUUUCUAAAUUGUUCAUCCUUGUUGUCAGAUUGCUGGCUUAAUAACAUUUUUCCUUUACCACAAAUUUAUAUGAAAUGUGUAGUAUAAUUUUUAAACUACCUAGUAUUUGAUGUGGAUAUACUCUUUAUUUUGUAUUUAUCUUAAUAUUAUAUAUGUUGUUUUUACUCUUGAUGUCAUCAGAGCUGACGUUGUGACAAUGCAUGUAAUCCGACAUAAUUUUCCAUUCCAUUAUAUUUCUAGUAUUCAAUAAAUUUAUCACAGUUUUUAAUCAAUUUUGUAGCAUAGAUUUAUUUGUUUGUUAUUAUUCUGGGGAUGCUUUACUAGACUCUAUUUAUAAUUGUCGCAUACAUUAGAAAAUUUAGCAUUGAAAAAUGUCAAUAUUGUAACCAACAAUUUGACAAAUUAAUGGGAGAUAAAUCUAUUUCUUAUAGGGAUUACCUCCCUUAGUAUACAAUUCCUGGAAUGAAUUCUGUGUAUAAAAAUUUAAUUGGGUGUGCUCAAUGGAUAGAAUAUUUUGUCAAGACACACUUGGGUAACUGUUUAUGAAUUUUAUGAGGGUGUGAGUUAUUAUUUCUAAAAAUGAAACCUGGGUUGCUACAUAUUUCUGGCCUUAAAAAUCCAUUGUUACAAAAUUAAAUUGUAUUUUUAGUCUGAUGUAAGUUAUU